rnacentral:rRNA from 1 species
AUUGAACGCUGGCGGCAUGCCUUACACAUGCAAGUCGAACGGUAACGGGCCUUCGGGUGCCGACGAGUGGCGCACGGGUGAGUAAUACAUCGGAACGUGCCCGAUCGUGGGGGAUAACGAGGCGAAAGCUUUGCUAAUACCGCAUACGAUCUACGGAUGAAAGCAGGGGACCGCAAGGCCUUGCGCGGACGGAGCGGCCGAUGGCAGAUUAGGUAGUUGGUGGGAUAAAAGCUUACCAAGCCGACGAUCUGUAGCUGGUCUGAGAGGAUGAUCAGCCACACUGGGACUGAGACACGGCCCAGACUCCUACGGGAGGAAGCAGUGGGGAAUUUUGGACAAUGGGCGCAAGCCUGAUCCAGCCAUGCCGCGUGCAGGAUGAAGGCCUUCGGGUUGUAAACUGCUUUUGUACGGAACGAAAAGCCUUCUUUUAAUACAGGAGGGUCAUGACGGUACCGUAAGAAUAAGCACCGGCUAACUACGUG